GUUUCCCUUGACGUUCGACAAGGCGAUGUAACGGUUCCCGCCCGAGAUCUACGUGGCGACAAGUGCAGCAUCUGUCACGCACGUUGUGCCCAUGCCGUUUUGCAACAUUGGUCUCCGGCGAAGUCAUCCGCCGUAUCCGUGACAUCGUUACUGGCAGCCGGGGCCCCUUCAAUACCGAACAUUAUAAUCUUCACAAUGGACUACAGACUCGUGACUGUGAACCUAGAUGGCCCUCUCCAAGCACCGAGACUUUUUCCCCAUCAUAGCAUAAAUGAUCCAUGCGACUGCUGCCAGUCUGGAACGUCUGGACAAAGGAAACGACUCGUCGUGGAGCGCUUCGGCAUCUUUAACCCCUUCAGGUGGGCCACAGCUGUCAGGGUGGCACGCCAAGCUUUUGACUGCGGUGUCUAAAUGCACGGUUGCAUUCGGUAUUGCUUGCGGGGUUUCUAUCUAGCGACACUCGCAAUAACUGCUAGGUCAAUUCAAUUGCGGUCAAUUUCGCCGCUCAAAGACGGGAGUGGGCUAAGGCGGUCACAGCGCGGCGGGUUCUUCUCCGUGGCGGAAACGAGAGUGGCAUCCAAGCUUCAGUCGAGCCGCUCGGGGUCUGAAUCGUCGCACAGCUUC